rnacentral:rRNA from 1 species
CCUACGGGAUGCAGCAGUCGAGAAUCAUUCACAAUGGGGGAAACCCUGAUGGUGCGACGCCGCGUGGGGGAAUGAAGGUCUUCGGAUUGUACACCCCUGUCAUGUGGGAGCAAAUUAAAAAGAUAGUACCACAAGAGGAAGAGACGUCUAACUCUGUGCCAGCCGCCGCGGUAAUACAGGGGUCUCAAGCGUUGUUCGGAAUCACUGGGCGUAAAGCGUGCGUAGGCUGUUUCGUAAGUCGUGUGUGAAAGGCGCGGGCUCAACCCGCGGACGGCACAUGAUACUGCGAGACUAGAGUAAUGGAGGGGGAACCGGAAUUCUCGGGGUAGCAGUGAAAUGCGUAGAUAUCGAGAGGAACACUCGUGGCGAAGGCGGGUUCCUGGACAUUAACUGACGCUGAGGCACGAAGGCCAGGGGAGCGAAAGGGAUUAGAUACCCCUGUAGUC